GGCGGCGUAGCUCAGCCCGAUGGAGCAGUCGGCUCAUACCCGAUAGGUCACUGGUUUAAAUCCAGUCGCCGCCA
rnacentral:tRNA from 1 species